GACAUACGGUAAGGCUAGUGUCCUAAGACGAGCUCAGGGAGGACAGAAACCUCCCCAGUAAAACACAAAGU